rnacentral:lncRNA from 1 species
CAGGGAAGGCUCUGCCCUGUUCCCCCAGACCCUCCUUCCUUCUGAGGAGUCUUUUCUGGUGUCUCCUGGGGUCCUUCUUUUCCACUUUGGAUCAUAUCUGAAUGCUUCUGGCCUGAAGUAAGGAUGACUGGGCCUUCCUUUGUCCUUGGCCCAGGCCAUCCCUGCCACUGGACAAUGAAACAUCAGUCGUUCUACUGCAGACCCGGAGUCAAGGCUGGAAACGAUUCCCAUGAAGAAGUCAAGAAGUCUCUGGGCUACUUACCCUUCAACUCCAUGUGUUACUAGUGAUGGCCGAGGCUCGCUCAGGAGGGGUGCUCUCACCUCCUGAGCCCCUUCAUCCUUUCGAUCUAUGAUUUCAAGUCUUCUGGGAUGUAGAUUUGUGUCUCACAAGGCUAGAGAUGUCAGGGAUUGGCUCGUGCUAAUCUCAGUACCAAGGGGUUGGCUAGUGUUCUCUGGCUAACUUGGACAGUGCCUUGGGCCUCCAUCUCUUUAGGUUUCUUGGAAACCGUUGUUAUUGUGAGAUUUGGAAUGAAUUACUGAAAUAUAACCAGCUUUGAUAUUUGGCCUUAACUUUAAGCCUCAAAGGCUUUCCUUUAAAAAAAAAUGAGCAAAUUAGAGAUUCAAAAUGAAAAAUAUUAAAGGAGGAUAAUCUCAUUGAGUACCUACUGUGAGCCAGUACUCUACUCUACUAGACUUUUUUACAUAUGAAGCUGCAUUCCAUCCUGACCGCAACCAACAGAACAGAAAGACUGAAGGCUACGAAUUAUAAAGACUUAGGCUAGUCACCAUGGUGACAGUGGAGUACAAAUGUAGGUCAGAGUCAAACCUUGAUUUCAAACAACUUCUCUGUGGACAGCGUCCUCAGAUGCCUCCUCUCAUAUAAUCGCCACAACCCUGGAACACAGGCACAGACACAGACAUGACACUUAACUUGGCGGGUGAGAAAACUGAGAGUCAAGUACUUCCUGUCUAAUGGAAACUAAAGCUCCCAUUACAUUUACUCCUCUCAAACACAGCGGAUUUCCUGGGAAAUGAUGUGGACCUGAAAAUGUUUAAGCUCCUGGGUCCUAGUUAACAGUAUUCUCUUCACAUAGCUUCUGAUUGUCCCAGCCUGAUGUCAGGUUAUAAACAAUGUGACAGCCUCCAUCUUUGCCACAGCCUCCCUCUCUGAGGCCACUCAUUCUAAGGGACGCCAGCUGUCUCGCUGUGAGAGAUGAUGUGGAGAGAGGCUCCUGUGGAGAGCAGUGUGGUGAAAGUACCUCAGCUGCUGUAGGAUCCCAAGCCUUUUCACCAGAAAACUGCCAUCAGCUACAUCCAGGCCUUGUAAGCAGAAGGCGCCAGUUAAACAUUGCUACAGGGCAAACAUCAUAAACAGCCAUGACCUAAAACUACUUCAAUGAAUUCUUUCUCAUGGCUCACUGGGCUAACAAACCCACGAUUUCUUCUGCUGGCUUGUCCUCUGCAUACACAUGCACUUCGUGAGCUACAGGUUUAAAUGGGAGUCACUCCAGGGAUCAGGGCAGCUGGGACACCUGAGCUGACCUUUUGUGGAAGACUUUAUCAACAGCUGGAUAAGAGCAGGAGCUACAGAAUGUCUUGCGGGCUGGCCUUGGAAAUUGAAUAUCACCUCUGCCGUGUUCUAUGGAGUAAGUCAAGUGAAGGAUCCACCUAGGUUUGAAAGAUGGAGAUGUGAAUGCUUGGUUUUUCUCUUGUUCUUGUUAUUUUGAGCAAAGUCCUGCCUUUCACCAUUGCUUAUCAUGACAGGUGCUGCAUACCUCACCCACCUACCUAUCCUCAAAUUUCUAGCAAUCCUCCGACCUCAGGAUCCACAUGUAGAAAAAACUUGUUUCUUGUUUCAAAUGUAUUUUUAUUAAAUUUUUGAGAAUUU